rnacentral:rRNA from 1 species
UACAGAGGGUGCGAGCGUUGUUCGGAAUUACUGGGCGUAAAGCGCGCGCAGGCGGCCUUUUAAGUCCAUCGGUCAAAUGCCGGGGCUCAACCCCGUGCCCGCCGAGGAUACUGGAAGGCUGGAGACACGGUAGAGGGCAAGCGGGAAUUCCGGGUGUAGGCGGUGGAAUGCGUAGAGAUCCGGAAGAACACCGGAGGCGAA